rnacentral:lncRNA from 1 species
GGAAGAAGGGCAGGAUAUCCCUAACCCUAGCCCUAACCCUAACCUGUCAACCUGUCUGGCCAAGUUUGUGAAGCUCAGCAAUGCCUUUUUCCCUUACAGUAACCGGGCUGCCCUACAUCUCUAUUCCAACACCCUCAACUUUCAGAUCAGCGAAGUGGAGCCCAAAUACUAUGCAGAUGGGGAAGAUGCAUAUGCAAUGAAGCGGGACCUCACGCAGAUGGCUGAUGAGCUGAGGCGGCACCUGGAGCUGAAGGAAAAGGGCAGGCACAUGGUGCUGUCGGCCAUGGAGAACAAGGCGGAGAACAAAGGCAACGUGCUUCUGAGCUCAGGAGAGGCCUGUCGUGAGGAGAAGGGCCUGACUGCUGAGGAUAGUGGUGGGGACAGCAAGGACCUCAGUGAGGUCAGUGAGACCACAGAAAGCACAGAUGUCAAAGACAGCUCAGAGGCCUCUGAUUCUGCCUCCUAGAACCUGCCCUACCUGGUCCCAACCUCACCCCAUGUGCUUUUUACAAUAAAUGUCACCCAGUGGCCUUGGGAAAUUUG